UUUAAUCUUAACUACUAGUGCUACUGCUUUAAGACAGGUAGAAGAGAGAGAGAGAAAGAGAGAGAAUGAAGUUCUUGUUCCAGUGUCCAUGUUGUUCUUGUUUCUGCUUCAUGAAGCCACAAAAAGGCAAACCAAAAGCUAAAGUGGAAGAAGCCAAACCUAAAGAUAAGAAGGUGGAAGAAGCAAAACCUAAGGAUAAGAAGGUGGAAGAAGCCAAACCUAAAGAGAAGGAAGAAAGCAAACCAGAAUAAUGAUAGUAGAGGCAAUGGCAAAUGCAGCUAUAUUAUUCUAAUACAAGUAUUGUUCUUCAUUUUACAUUACUGCUUGUUUAUGGUGUUUUCCAAUUUCCAUCCAUAUAUAGUGAGCAAUCUUUGACACUUCUUUGGAAAACGCUAGUACUAUUUGUAUUUUUAUAAGAAAAUAAUUUCACUUUAUUUACUCUGAAAGGCAAAGGUAAUACUUCUGUUGCUCGAAUUCUUAAAAUUGCCACUCCUAAAAUAUGCAUAACUUUUGGUAGAUCCUAUACAUACGACAAUUUUUUUGAAGGAUAUACUAGGUUAGUAGCUAUUUCAGUUUUAAUUAGGAUAGAUAAUAUGAAGAUUGACUAGGGGGCAUAUUCUAAAUAUUCUAAGCGUGUUUUAUUGAAAAUUAGGACUUUUAAGUUCCUCUUUAGUCAGUAGAAUAUAUGUUUUAGUCUUUUAAAAAGUUAAAUUAGAUAAGAUCUGAGAACACAUAAUCCUUGAUCACUUUAUGUGGAUCUUGGAGUGUAUGACAUAUAAGCUGAAUUCUUAUUUAUUGAUAGUCUAUUUUCUUUUUGGGUCUGUGUAAAUAAAACCAAUUCACUUUUCCCUUCCUCUAAUAGAGACUACAGAACGUUCUUGUGAAUUAUAGCCAAUGUUGAGUAUAUAAAUUGUGAUAUUAAAUCCAGAGGUUAAUCGUAUUCUGCUAAUUCUAUGUAAGGCAGGACAGUAAUAGGAUGACAUUUUGACAAUCUCUUUAUGACCAUUUCUCCUCCUCCUUCUCCUUGAUAGCUAUGCAUUUUAACUCACCGAUAAAAAUGAUAAGAACCUUUUCAAUCAUGGGCUGCGUGUCGACUUUCCCUAUGACUCCUUGGUCGAUCCUUGACAGACCUCCCAAACCCUAGUGCCGUGUACGGCCUCGCGAUCUGUUAGUGUAAUUGCAUUUUAUUACUAAAAUAAAUUUUUAUAAUUCUCACUACUCUAUGAUGUAGAAAAUGAUCAUAACUCCUAUAAUUCCGACUACUCCAUGAAGUAGAAAAUGGCCAUAACUUUUGUAACUCUUCUCCCAUGUUCUACCACUAAUUAUCCCAUGUUCUUCAUGAUAUUAUAACUUAUUACCCCGCUUUCUUUCAAUUUAAUUCAAGGAAUAAUUCUUAUGCCUAUAAAUAGGAGUCUUUCCUUCAUAUUGUGGGAUGAAAAAAUAAUUAUAGAGAGCUUCUAUAAAGUGAGGUUAAAGUUGUGAAAAAAGAAGAAGAGA
rnacentral:lncRNA from 1 species